GGCGGCGGCGGCGGCGACGGCCGCAGGAGGCGCAGUCUUCCUCCCAGGUGCGCGCUUCGCUCCCGGAGCCGCGGAACUCGGCGGCCGCCAUGGCGUCCAACAUGGACCGGGAGAUGAUCCUGGCGGAUUUUCAGGCGUGUACUGGCAUUGAAAACAUUGACGAAGCUAUUACAUUGCUUGAACAAAAUAAUUGGGAUUUAGUGGCAGCUAUCAAUGGUGUAAUACCCCAGGAAAAUGGCAUUCUACAAAGUGAAUACGGACGUGAGAGCAUACCAGGAUCUGCAUUUGAUCCAGCAAGUCGUUCAGCUUCAGCUCCUGCUCCCUCUUCCUCUUCAGCAUUUCGACCUGUAAUGCCAUCCAGGCAAAUUGUAGAAAGACAACCUCGGAUGCUGGACUUCAGGGUUGAGUACAGAGACAGAAAUGUUGAUGUGGUACUUGAAGACAGCUGUACUGUUGGAGAGAUUAAACAGAUUCUAGAAAACGAACUUCAGAUACCUGUGUCUAAAAUGCUGUUAAAAGGCUGGAAGACUGGAGAUGUGGAAGACAGUACGGUCUUAAAAUCUCUACACUUGCCAAAAAACAACAGCCUUUAUGUCCUUACACCAGACUUGCCACCACCUUCAUCAUCUAGUCAUGUUGGUGCCCUGCAGGAGUCAUUAAAUCAAAGCUUCAUGCUGAUCGUCACCCACCGAGAAGUCCAGCGGGAGUACAACCUGAACUUCUCCGGAAGCAGUACCAUUCAGGAGGUAAAGAGGAAUGUGUAUGACCUUACAAGUAUCCCUGUUCGCCAUCAAUUAUGGGAGGGCUGGCCAACUUCUGCCACAGAUGACUCAAUGUGUCUUGCUGAAUCAGGCCUCUCUUAUCCCUGCCAUCGACUUACAGUGGGAAGAAGGUCUUCACCUGCACAGACCCGGGAGCAGUCCGAGGAGCAAAGCACCGAUGUUCAUAUGGUUAGUGAUAGUGAUGGAGACGACUUUGAAGAUGCUACAGAAUUUGGUGUAGAUGAUGGAGAAGUUUUUGGCAUGGCAUCAUCUGCCCUGAGGAAAUCUCCAAUGAUGCCAGAAAACGCAGAAAAUGAAGGAGAUGCCUUAUUACAAUUUACAGCAGAGUUUUCUUCAAGAUACGGUGACUGCCAUCCUGUAUUUUUUAUUGGGUCAUUAGAAGCUGCUUUUCAAGAGGCCUUCUACGUGAAAGCCCGAGAUAGAAAGCUUCUUGCUAUCUACCUCCACCAUGAUGAAAGUGUAUUAACCAACGUGUUCUGUUCCCAAAUGCUUUGUGCCGAAUCCAUUGUCUCUUAUCUGAGUCAAAAUUUUAUAACCUGGGCUUGGGAUCUGACAAAGGACGCCAACAGAGCACGAUUUCUGACAAUGUGCACUAGACACUUUGGCAGUGUUGUUGCACAAACCAUUCGGACUCAAAAAACAGAUCAGUUUCCACUUUUCCUGAUUAUUAUGGGAAAGCGAUCAUCUAAUGAAGUGUUAAAUGUGAUACAAGGAAACACAACAGUGGAUGAGUUAAUGAUGAGACUCAUGGCUGCAAUGGAGAUCUUCACGGCCCAACAACAGGAAGAUAUAAAGGAUGAGGAUGAACGUGAAGCCAGAGAAAAUGUGAAAAGAGAGCAAGAUGAAGCCUAUCGUCUUUCACUUGAGGCUGACAGAGCAAAAAGAGAAGCUCAUGAGAGAGAGAUGGCUGAACAGUUUCGUUUGGAGCAGAUUCGUAAAGAGCAAGAAGAGGAACGUGAGGCUAUCCGGCUCUCCUUAGAGCAGGCCCUGCCCCCAGAGCCAAAGGAAGAAAAUGCUGAGCCCGUGAGCAAACUGCGAAUCCGGACCCCCAGUGGCGAGUUCCUGGAGCGGCGUUUCCUGGCCAGCAGUAAGCUCCAGAUUGUCUUCGAUUUUGUAGCCUCCAAAGGAUUUCCAUGGGACGAGUUCAAGUUACUGAGCACCUUUCCUAGGAGAGAUGUAACCCAGCUGGAUCCAAAUAAAUCAUUAUUGGAGGUAAAGUUAUUCCCUCAAGAAACCCUUUUCCUUGAAGCAAAAGAGUAAACAUGGCCCAGCGGUGGAACCAGCCACUCCUUGACAAGUCACAGUCCUGCGUCAAGAGAAGGGCUCCUCGCCAACCCACCCACACGCUCCUCUCACUCAAUCUGAUGUCACACUUCUGCCUCUUGCAAGAUUGCUGGAAAAAAAAGCAGGAGAUGCCAACAUAGUCUCAAGUGUCCACCUGAUUCAAGAAGCUCACUCCUCACCAGCAUCCCUCUCCAACCCAUUGUCCAGUCCAAUCCAUGUCUGAAGAGUUGACUUCGGGAAUGGUUCCUGUCCUGGGCCAACAGAAGAGGAGGGGAUGAGACAAAGGCAGGACUCCACCCCAGGUUGGCUCCCACACUGGCAGCCCUGGCAGGCCAGGCCCUGUGACCAGAGGUGAUGAGGACACAUGAAGAAGCGUGCCAGACACUUGACCAACAGUAAGAACACAGUGUGGUCAACCCUGGGGGCUGGAGGAAGGGGAGUAAAUAUGCCCCCAAGGAAAGUGGCUCCAAAUAGGGAAGGGACAUGCUCUAGUGCCCCCAACCCCAUGAGGUCAGUUGGAGAAAGAGGUGGGAAAUUGGCCUCAACUCUGCCUCCUUGUUUCCAACCAGUCUCACUUUCUUCUCUGUAGAUGCAAAAGAACAGUUCUCACCCCCUUCCCCCAACUAGCUGUACGACCCUGGGAAAGUCACUUCCUCUCUGUGCCUCAGUUUCCUCUGUUGUAAGUUGGAGAUGAAUGUGAGUGACCAUGUGGCUUCAAAGACAGCCAAAUGGGGAGGCACUUGGAGAGCUUGCAAAGUCAGUGGACCCUUCUUGUGCCUCUGACAAGAGACACUGGGGCAUCCCAGAGGCGGGGUCCUAAAGAACAAGUAGAAGUUUUCCAGGUGACUAACAGGUCUGGGACUGGGAGCCAGCCUAGCAUCAGCCGGAAGAGGCUCUGUGCAUCAGUACAUCCUCAAGCCUGGACUCUGAAACUGCCACUGGGGCAAGAAAGCCUACUGUGAGCCACUACCCCUCCUCCACCCGCGCCAGGACAGAGGUUUAAUGUGUGGGGCUCGGCUCCGGGCCAACCAAUAUGCGGCUCCUAACUGGAAAAGGAUGAGUUAGGGCGGCCGGUAGCCAGCCAUGCAGCUAGGAACUCGCCCGGGUACACACAGCCGGUCGGAGACUGCGCGUCCCAGCGGGAAAAGCGGUGCAGAGGUGAGAUGAGGGGUAGAGACACUCAGAGUAGGAGAACUUGUUGAGGGAAAGACGCCAACUGUGAGAGAGAGUGUAGACAGGGGCUCUGAGGAGGUCGAUCAGGCUUCUCUCUCCCGCCUCCACUCCUCUAUCUUGUUUUUGGUCAAUGACCCGAGGUUACAGGCUGGGAGUGUGCGGCAGCCGACCGGCCCUCGCCGCACUGCCAAGGAGGUACUUGGACUCAAACCCAAGCUGAUCCCGCCCAGGAGCCAAGCCCUAAGGCUCUUCUCCUCCACAGUGCCCUCCCCGGACACGAGGUGGCCUGGCCGCUGCUGUCUUCCAGCCCAUCGACUCCGGGGAGAGCCCAGAGAGACUGGCGACUCGUCUGCGGUCGCACAGCGCGGUGGAGGUGCGGAAUCUUGGCUGACGCAUGUGCCCGGGGCUGAUUCUCCGGAUCGCCGUUUCCAGAAACUCUCUAGGGAGAUGGUUACUAGGAGAAGGAAGAUCCAAAGAAGACUAUUUUGUGGGUGCACACCGUUCCCAAAACCCCAGGAGGACUUGCAAAUCGCUUGGGCUGUUGCACUCUGUUUUGGAACCGCGUCCCCUUCUUUCCUCGGCCUUGUCAAUUCACGAUGCUGCCAAACUCAGCUCGGGAAAACUGUGAGAACUGAUUUAAAAUGAGGGGUGGGAGACCGGUUCCAAGAUAAAUACACAAGAAUCUGUAACUUUCUUAAGCUCCUGCCAUUACCAGUUAGACUUGUGAUGGGUGAAAAAAUUCUGUUUACCAUGGUCACAUAAAAUACCAGGAAUAUGCUUAAGAAACAGAACUAUAGAAAGAAAAUGACAUCUACCAAUGUAUAUUAAAGUCGUGAAUAAAUAAAGUCACACUGUGUCCUAGAUGGAAAUACCCUGUAUUGUGAAGAUGCAUAAUCUCCCUCAUAAAUUUCUAAAGGCAAUUUAACUCCAAUCAAAUUGCCAAAAGUGUUUUCUUUUUCUUUUUUGGAACUGGCUUUAAAAUUUCCAAAAGUAUUUAUUUUGAAAAUAGCCAGGAGAAUUUGAAAAAGAAGAAUCAGGAAUAAGGAGGGCUUGUUCUUUCAAGUAUUACAAAGCUACACUAAUUGAAACAGUGAGGCUGGUGCAAGAGUGAGCUGUUCUCUGAAAAAGAAGAGAAAUGCUGAAAUCAACCUGAGGUUGUCUGACUUGAGAAUUUAGUCUGCAGUGAAGGUGGUAUUUCGUGUCGGUGGGGAAAGGGUGGGUCAUUAAACAGUGCUGUGGCAACUGGCUAAUCAUUUGGGAAAAAAUUAAGAUACAAGCCUACUUCACACCUUCCACCAAAAUUAUUUUCAAAUAAAUUAAAGAUGUAAAUAAUGAAAAAGUGCUAAUAUAAAAUAGAAGUGAAUGCUUUUAGAAUGUUGGAUUUGGAAAAUCCUUGUUAAGUAUGAUACUAUAAAUCAAAUCUAUAAAGAAAAGUGGUCAGAUUUGGUUAUAUAAAUGUUUAAACUUCUGUAUAACAAUAAUGAAAGAGUAUAAUAAAGUCAAAAGAAGGACAAAAAUAUGGGGGGACACUUGCAGCAUGUGUUGCAGAUUAAAGACAGUAGUAACUGCUUUGAUAUUGUCUUUAAUAUAUAAACAGCUAUUAUAAAUUAAGGAAAGGAAAAGCGCUAUGAUAAAAAAAUUAGCAAAGGAUAUACACAGAUAAACACACACACACACAAACCCACAAGUGACCAAGACAUAUAUGAAAUACUGUUUUUCCUGCUUGAAUUGGCAAAGAUUUAAAAAGUCAGCAAGAUGCACUGCUGUUGAGUGUGUUCACUGAUACAAUCUUCUCUGAGGACUAUCAGACAGGCAGCUGCAAAAAGCCUUAAAGAAAAAAAAAAAAGGAAAAGAGCCAAACAAUCUUAUUUCUAAGAAUUUGUCUUAAGGAAAUAAUUAGGCAAAUUCACAAAGGACAUUCAUGGUAGCAAUGUUUAUUAUAGCUAAAAUUAGAAGCUAAGUAUCUAUUAAUAGAGAAUUGGCUAAAUAAAUUAGGGUGCAUUCAUACAAUGCUAUAUUAAGCAAUCUUCUAAGAUUAUGUAGACCUAUAAUUAAUAUGAAAAGAUGUUCAUCAUAUUUGUAAACAAAGCAACAACCAAAAGUAUAUUUUUGUAAAUUGUGUGCACAGAAGAGUUUAGAAAGAUAUAUUCCAAAUAUACUUUGCUGAAUUGUCCUAAGUGUUUUAUAAUAAGAGGCAUUACUUUAUCAGAACAAAUGACAAUGUUUCCUUUUGGGAAGUCUAACUUCUCAUUCAGGGGUCCCCUCCUUUCCGCAGACCCCAAGAUCAGGGACUCCCACAGCAACUCUGUUCUAUGAAGUCACUGGGGGGUGAUCGUGUGCCCAUUUGACCAACGAACUUCAACUUCGAAAGGGCCCAUCACGGUUGAUUCAUCUCUGAUCCCCAGGCCUCAGGGCCUGGCACUACUAGAUAGAUGCUCAACAAGUCCUGUUGCGUGCAUGAAUAACCCGAUCUUUCUUUUUUUUUUUUUCCGUGAAUGCGCGCUGAGAAUUGACUCAAGUCGAACGUAAUGGGAAGCCUCUAGGUCUGAGCCUACUCGCCCAGAACAGAAGGUGAGGGGAAAAAAAGCCUCAGAGUGGGAGGCGGAUGGGGUUCCCGGACAAGUUAUGUCGCCUCCCUGAAUUUGGCUCUCUGAUCUGUGAAACGUGGGACAUCACACCUCCCCUAAGGACUUCGUACCAAGAGCCACAUCACACACCAAGUGCUGAACAGAGGGGCUGUACACAGUAGGCGCUCACUAAGUCGAAGUAAAUAAUUGGGCAAUGAGCAACUC